rnacentral:rRNA from 1 species
GAUGAACGCUAGCUACAGGCUUAACACAUGCAAGUCGAGGGGAAACGAUAUUGGAAGCUUGCUUCCGAUAGGCGUCGACCGGCGCACGGGUGAGUAACGCGUAUCCAACCUGCCCAUCACUUGGGGAUAACCUUGCGAAAGUAAGACUAAUACCCAAUGAUAUCCGUCGAAGACAUCUGAAGUGGAUUAAAGAUUCAUCGGUGAUGGAUGGGGAUGCGUCUGAUUAGCUCGUUGGCGGGGUAACGGCCCACCAAGGCGACGAUCAGUAGGGGUUCUGAGAGGAAGGUCCCCCACAUUGGAACUGAGACACGGUCCAAACUCCUACGGGAGGCAGCAGUGAGGAAUAUUGGUCAAUGGACGAGAGUCUGAACCAGCCAAGUAGCGUGCAGGAUGACGGCCCUAUGGGUUGUAAACUGCUUUUAUAAGGGAAUAAAGUGAGUCUCGUGAGACUUUUUGCAUGUACCUUAUGAAUAAGGACCGGCUAAUUCCGUGCCAGCAGCCGCAGUAA